CGAGUCCGAUGUGAAACUCCAAUGGAAAACUCUUUUUUCAUUAUUUCACUCUACCAUGGCCAUGGGCUUAAGGACUCGAUCUUUCGAUCAUCAUAGGACUACUCCUCUCAUCUACCGAGGUUGAUAGAUCUCAUCUUGGUGCGACCUAGUUCCUACAAUGAAUAUGCUACAGUCAACAUACACCUCAGGAUUCUGAAUGGCUAGGAGAUCGAGUUAUGGUAUAGUCAAACUAUAACACACUCAAGGUGAACUGUCGAUACACCUCAGGUCAAAGAACAAGACACACAACUGCAGCAUCGAGCUAGUCAUCGACGAGAAGGUAGAC
rnacentral:lncRNA from 1 species